UUGAUGUGUAUAUAUAAAGCUCAUAACUGAUAUUAUCCAUUCAAAUAAAUCAAGAAAAUCUAUGGCAGCUGCUUUAUUUAUCCAAGAUAUCAAGAACAAAUUUCUAGAUCUAAUUAAAUUCCUUAUUUCAUUUGGUAAAGGAAAUGAUGGGAAUGAAAAUUUAAACAUUGAAAAUGAGAAGGGAAUAAAUGAAGAAGAAAAAGGAGCUUUUAUAAUGUCAACAAUAGCAAGACGUUCAACACGUCCAGGAAAACGUAAACCUCCUCGUUUUCAGACUGGAAAUAAUAUUUCUUAGCUGUAAAAAUAAUAAUUAAAAUUUGUAGAUUUUGAAAAUAUUUCAAUUUUUAUGGGUUUUUUUUAAAAUAUAAUUUGACAAGUAAAGUUUAUUUUAGCGGUGAAACACCUCUACUAUCAAUUAAUAAAUUAAAGGUUCAGGUUACAACUUUUUAA